UGAGGAAUAUUGGGCAAUGCCCGCAAGGGUGACCCAGCAACGCCGCGUGGAGGAUGAAUGUCGUAAGAUUGUAAACUCCUGUUAGAGGGGAAGAAUAGUACCGGUUGGACCGGUAUAUGACUGUACCCUCAGAGAAAGCCCCGGCUAACUACGUGCCAGCAGCCGCGGUAAUACGUAGGGGGCAAGCGUUGUCCGGAUUUACUGGGUGUAAAGGGUGCGUAGGUGGGCUUAUAAGUCAGUGGUGAAAUCUCCGAGCUUAACUUGGAAACUGCCGUUGAUACUAUAGGUCUUGAAUUAUCUGGAGGUAAGCGGAAUAUGUCAUGUAGCGGUGAAAUGCUUAGAUAUGACAUAGAACACCAAUUGCGAAGGCAGCUUACUACAUAUAAAUUGACGCUGAGGCACGAAAGCGUGGGGAUCAAACA
rnacentral:rRNA from 1 species